UACGGGAGGCAGCAGUGGGGAAUAUUGCACAAUGGGCGCAAGCCUGAUGCAGCCAUGCCGCGUGUAUGAAGAAGGCCUUAGGGUUGUAAAGUACUUUCAUCGGGGAGGAAAAAACAAAAACUAAUAAUUUUAUUUUCUUGACGUUACCCGAAAAAGAAGCACCGGCUAACUCCGUGCCAGCAGCCGCGGUAAUACGGAGGGUGCUAGCGUUAAUCAGAAUUACUGGGCGUAAAGAGCACGUAGGUGGUUUUUUUAAGUUCAGAUGUGAAAUCCCUGGGCUUAACCUAGGAACUGCAUUUUGAAACUGAAAUACUAGAGUAUCGUAGAGGGAGGUAGAAUUCUAGGUGUAGCGGUGAAAUGCGUAGAUAUCUGGAGGAAUACCUGUGGCGAAAGCGGCCUCCUAAACGAAUACUGACACUGAGGUGCGAAAGCGUGGGGAGCAAACG
rnacentral:rRNA from 1 species